CGGACUUCGGUCCGGCGGAAACUGGCGCACGGGUGAGUAACGCGUGGGGAUAUGCCCAAGGGUACGGAAUAACCACUGGAAACGGUGGCUAAUACCGUAUGCUCCCUCCGGGGAAAAGCUCCGGCGCCCUUGGAUUAUCCCGCGUCCGAUUAGCUAGUUGGUGAGGUAACGGCUCACCAAGGCGACGAUCGGUAGCUGGUCUGAGAGGACGAUCAGCCACACUGGGACUGAGACACGGCCCAGACUCCUACGGGAGGCAGCAGUGGGGAAUUUUGGACAAUGGGGGCAACCCUGAUCCAGCCAUGCCGCGUGAGUGAAGAAGGCCCUAGGGUUGUAAAGCUCUUUCAGCGGGGAAGAUGAUGACGGUACCCGCAGAAGAAGCCCCGGCUAACUCCGUGCCAGCAGCCGCGGUAAUACGGAGGGGGCUAGCGUUGCUCGGAAUUACUGGGCGUAAAGGGCGCGUAGGCGGAUUUUUAAGUUACGUGUGAAAGCCCCGGGCUUAACCCGGGAAUUGCGCGUGAUACUGGAAGUCUAGAGUUCUGGAGAGGGUGGUGGAAUUCCCAGUGUAGAGGUGAAAUUCGUAGAUAUUGGGAAGAACACCGGUGGCGAAGGCGGCCACCUGGCCAGACACUGACGCUAAGGCGCGAAAGCGUGGGGAGCAAACAGGAUU
rnacentral:rRNA from 1 species